rnacentral:tRNA from 1 species
AGAUGGGUCGUCUAAUUGGUAGGACACUCGGCUGCAAAGCUGAGAAAUGUGGGUUCGAUACCCAGCCCCAUCAC